GCCCGAGUGGCGGAAUGGCAGACGCGGCGGACUCAAAAUCCGCUGUCCGGAAGGGCGUGUGGGUUCGACUCCCACCUUGGGCACCG
rnacentral:tRNA from 1 species